rnacentral:rRNA from 1 species
CCUACGGGCGGCAGCAGUGAGGAAUAUUGGUCAAUGGACGGAAGUCUGAACCAGCCAUGCCGCGUGCAGGAAGACGGCUCUAUGAGUUGUAAACUGCUUUUGUACAAGGGUAAACCUCAAUACGUGCAUUCAGCUGAAAGUACCGUACGAAUAAGGUCCGGCUAACUCCGUGCCAGCAGCCGCGGUAAUACGGAGGAUCCAAGCGUUACCCGGAUUUAUUGGGUUUAAAGGGUGCGUAGGCGGUUUGAUAAGUUAGGGGUGAAAUGUCGGAGCUUAACUCGGGAACUGCCUCUAAAACUGUUGAUCUAGAGAGUGGAUGCGGUAGGCGGAAUGUAUGGUGUAGCGGUGAAAUGCUUAGAGAUCAUACAGAACACCGAUUGCGAAGGCAGCUUACCAAGGUAUAUCUGACGUUGAGGCACGAAAGCGUGGGGAGCAAACAGGAUUAGAUACCCCUGUAGUC